rnacentral:lncRNA from 1 species
CUGCUAGGUACUGCGAUCUCCUAGGUACUGAGACUUCCUCGGUGCUGAGGUCUCCUCAGUGCUGAGACCUCCUAGGUACUGAGGUCUCGUAGGCACUGAGGUCUCCUAGGUCCUGAGACCUCCUCGGUACUGAGGUCGCCUUGGUGCUGGGACCUCCUAGGUCCUGAGCCCUCCUAGGUACUGAGACCUCCUAGGCACUGCGAUCUCGUAGGUACUAAGACCUCGUCGGUACUGAGGUCGUCUCGGUGCUCAGACCUCCUAGGCACUGAGAUCUCCUAGGUACUGAGACCUUCUCGGUGCUGAGGUCGCCUCGGUGCUAACACCUCCUAGGUACUGAGGUCUCCUAGGCACUGAGAUCUCCUAGGUACUAAGACCUCCUCGGUGCUGAGGUUGGCUCAGUGCUGAGACCUCCUAGGUCCCGAGACCUUCUAGGUACUGAGACCUCCUCGGUGCUGAGGUCGCCUUGGUGCUGAGACCUCCGAGGUACUGAGACCUCGUUGAUACUGAGGUCGCCUCGGUGCUGAGACCUCCUAGGUACUGAGGUCUCGUAGGCACUGAGAUCUCCUAGGUACUGAGGUCUCGUAGGCACUGAGAUCUCCUAGGUACUGAGACCUCCUCGGUGCUGAGGUCGCCUCGGUGCUGAGACCUAGGUACUGAGGUCUCCUAGGCACGGAGAUCUCUUAGGUACUGAGACCUCGUUGAUACUGAGGUCUCCUCAGUGCUGAGACCUCCUAGGUACUGAGGUCUCCUAGGCACUGAGAUCUCCUAGGUACUGAGACCUCCUCGGUAUUGUGACCUCCUCGGUACUGAGGUCUCCUAGAUCCUGAGACCUUCUAGGUACUGAGACCUCCUCGGUGCUGAGGUCGCCUCGGUGUUGUGACCUCCUAGAUACUGAGGUCUCCUAGGCAAGGAGAUCUCUUAGGCACUGAGACCUCGUCGAUACUGAGGUCGCCUCGGUACUGAGACUUUCCAGGUACUGAGGUCUCCUAGGCACUGAGGCCUUCCCCUGUCGGAGGUGGGAAACUACUGGGAGGUAGAGCAGAACCAACACCUUCCCCUGAGGGUGGUGGGCUGAGCCGUGUCUUCCUUUCUAGGGGUCUUCUAUUCAUGCCAUCCAUGAGAGACCCCCGUACUCUUCUGACGCAUUCCCAUGUUGCUGAAGACUCAGUGUCGUCUUUGUUACUGUGACGUUGCGUGUUCGCGGUGUGCUGCAGUAUUCUGUUUUUCCAGCGUAUCCAAGGAGACGUGUAGUGCCUAAGAGUGUGAGUGCUACAAAAAGGGUGGUUUGUUCCAACCCAAGCUUGACCAUGACUGGUUCUCUCAUAUGGGUCAAGUUCCCUAAACUUCUCUGUGCCUCAGUUUCCUUGGCAG